rnacentral:sRNA from 19 species
GCUGCGCCUAGAUCGGCCAAUCGAAAACCGGGCAAACCCUACCCUGCUGGCGCUGCUCCCUCAUUCAACAGGG